AUUCCCCUAUUGAUCAAGAAUCUACCUAUCUCUGCCUUAAAAAUACACAAGGACUCUGCCCUGUCAGCUCUAUGUGGCAAGAAGUUCCAAAGACACUCAGCCCUCUGAGAUGAAAACUCUCUUCAAUUCAACUUUGGAUUAUUCUGAGACUAUGCUUUUUAGACGGAGAUUAGCCAAUGAGAGGGCCAAUCCUGUCAGCAUUUAACCUGUCAAACCACUUCAGAAUCUGAUUGCAGCAAUGGCAGAUGAUCUCAUUAAAGCAAAACUCCAAUGCGUAGUGUUCCACUCACCCAGUCUGUGUCACUGGUUAAAGGUCUUUCCGCUGUGUACUGUAUUAGAACUUUUGCUGAGAUUUAAAAAAAAACAUUUUUGGUUUGAAUCUGAGAGCUGAACAGUGACCUCUGGACUGUGAGCAGCAGCUGUGUUAAAAAAGAAUAUAAAAGCUAUAGUUUGUUGCUGAGGCCAGGCCUGGAAGUUAAUUGCAGGUUGUUUCUUGAGCAAAACUCUGUAGACUACUUUGGUCAUUAAUGAAGACAGUAUCUGGGAACUGGUACCAGCAAGUCUGGGAGAGAACAUGGUCAAAUAGAAGUAAGUGCCAGAGUUCUUUAGAACUGGGGCUUUCUGAGAAAAGGCUGUUGAUGUGACAGCACAAAGGUUUGACAAUCCUGUGUACCUGUGAAGCAACGCAUCAUGGAAACUGCUCAAGUAAUCUGCACAUUCAACAACUUGACAACUGGAUAGAAAAUAAGAGACACAGCAGCCACUCCAGAAGCUUCCAAAAUUACUCUGCAUCUUCUUGAACUGCUGCAGUCCGCGUGGUGAAGAUGCUCCCAGAUUGCUGUUUGAAUGUGGGCAUCACUGGCUCGGCCAGAAUUCAUUGCCCAUCCAUGAUUGUACAGAGGGCUAUUAAGACUCAACUGCAUUGCUGACUGGCUGGAGUCACAUGUAGGCCAGAUCAGGGAAUUGGAGAGGCAGAAUUUACAGACGUCACUCAAGUCAAACAUUGGAUCAAGAGCUGCCAGUAACACUCAAUUCUCAGGAGCUUUGAACAUGGAAGGAAAAAGGCAUCGUUCACAGUGAAGAGAAACCAUACAUGUGGUCUGUGUGGACAAGCCUUCAGUCGUGUGGCCUGUCGAUAUGUAAAUGCAGUGAAAACAGGGUGACAACAAUGACAUCAAACAGCACAUGCUUUGUAAUAUCAUGGUCAUGGAUCUCAGUUUGAGUUAAGUAAGGGCCACUCAGCUCCUGAUCUCCUUACAUUCUUGGUGCAAACAUGGACCAAACAGCUGAAUUCCAAAUGUGAGAGUGACUAUCCACUAUCUUAAGGCUCCAUUUGACAGAGCAUUGUAUCAAGGAAUCGUAGCAAAGCUAAAGUCACUGGGAAUCAGAGAAAAUUAUUGUUCCUGUGAUAGCCAGUUUUUGAAAAGAUUGCACCUUCCGAACUGAGUAAAUCGAAACAAGGUGAAUUUAUUCAAACUUAUACCACAUAAAUGCAGAAGAGGCCUCUAAGUUUACCUCGGAGACGCUCUACCAUUGACAGCUCAAAACAGCAUAUUAAGACAUUUACACGUCAGAAUGAUGACAUGUAACAUUGACAUAUAAUUUAUUUUAUACCAAUCAUUAACCUCAAAAACAGAAUGCUGUUAAGUUUCUUACAAAGUUCUGGGUCCUCUAAUUUCAAAAGAACUUCCACUUCCACAUUAUCUUCCAAGAUUCUCUAUCCCCACCAUCAGCUGGCAGCACGCAAGCCUUCCCUUAUGAGUAAUACUUACAUGACUAUGUGAAGCUAAACAGAUGGUCUCUGAACCUGAAGUAACUGCUGACUGUUCACUGUUAUGGAUAUGCAGUUAAACUACCUGAGCCACAAUAACUGUGUCCUUAUAUGGUUGUAUUUGACUCUUGAUCCUGUGCUGAACUUCUUGUCCAAGCUGAUUCCUACUUGUUCUGUGUUUUAAUGUACCAUUCCUUUCCUUUUAUAUGCCCCUUGUGAACUCUCCUUUCCUCUUUAUCCUACUUCGUCUUGGUUGGAUAAUACUGAAUGCAGAGGAAGGUGCUUGUGAUUGCAGGAGGCCUGGUUUCUCUGUGGUGCGGGUGUCCUUGUCUCUAUCCAGAUUGGGCAAUCAGGUGAAUCGAGUCCAUGCAGAUAGAAGGCCCAACAUUCCCUGUUGUGAAUGUGUUUUUAUUCUUCCACAGGAUGUGGGUAUCACUGGUCAGGACGGCAUUUGUUGUUUAUUCCGAAUUCACCUUGAACUGAUGGCUGAGGACAAUUAGGGGUCAAACACGUUUUUGUGGGGCUGGAGUCACUUGUAUGCCAAACUGGGUGAGGACUUUCCUCCCGAAGGGACAUUAAUGAAUCGGAUUUCAGGAAAUUAAAGUCAUGGUCUCUGUUUCUGA